rnacentral:miRNA from 1 species
GAGAUGGGAAGAUGGCUUGAGCCCAAGAGGUUGAGGCUGCAGUGAGCUGUGAUCACACCACUGCACUCCAGCCUGAGUGACAGAGCAAGACCUUGUCU